rnacentral:piRNA from 1 species
UGUCAGCGGUCUUUCUGAAGGACAAUAAC